GUUUAGAGCAGAAACUGCUGACAGAGUGAAUUGAAUGAAACAAAAGAUGCCCAAUUACAAGACAGUGUGAGUGUGUAUGAGGGUACAUACAGGACCACAGGCAGCAAACACACAAUACGUCAGAACCCCAUGUCUGACGGUGACCAAACACCUAGAAGAGUGGCCUUACCCAUGUUUGCUUCCGUGGGGGUGUGGAAGGUUGCUGAGCUGCCCAUGAAGAGACUGGCACUUGGCUGCCUCAAAUUCCUGCCUCGACUGAAAAGCUGCCUAGCCAGAGGUGGGUUCUUUACUGACUGAGCCACCAGGGAUGUCCAUGACUUCUUUUGAUAAAGCUCCUCCUCUUCAGGGUGUGUGGGGGCCAGCUGAAACUGUGAUCAUCUUGUAAACUCUCGGGGCUGCAAAUGUCUCUUCCUAACACACCCUGGGGUCUUCCCCACGAAGUGCAGAAAGCCAGAAGCUACUUUUCGUCAUCAUCCAGGCCCUCAUUCCUCCUUUUGGAUUUAGUUAAGUCAGCCUCUUUAGU
ensembl:lncRNA